UGUAAACAUCCCCGACUGGAAGCC
rnacentral:ncRNA from 8 species